GGCAGUGUGUGUGUGAUGUUGCAUCUCUGGCCCUGGAAGGGAGACAGAGGUCACCUUCUUGGGAGUCAGAGUUGGCCCCUCAGCUGCCAGGGGUGCAGCUGAGCAGCUUCAGAGGACUGACUGCAGAGACCAGGAAGGGGCCAUUCACUCUGAUGGGAAUUGGGAAUCAUUGAUGCUCGAGCAGGAGGUGGGAUGUCAGUCUCUUCUGCCUUCUGACUUAGGUUCUGACUGGAACUAUCACCAUCAGCUCUCCUGGGUCUGGACUUCUCAGCCUUCAUAAUCACAUCUGAUGGUUUAUCAGUUCAACCACUCUCAUCUCUUUGAUCUUCCACCAUCCUUGGCUUAACUCCCAAUUCUGAGGACCAGUCCCACCAGUUUGUCAUCUCUGCUUCUGUAUCCAUGUUGCUAAGGAUUUCUGAGGAAAACUGCAAAAUUGUUCAAAUUGAUGCCUUUAUGAUGCCAUUGUCUCUGAUGCCAGGAUACCACCUCUGCUCAUUGAAAGACGGUGUUUGGUGGAGAGGAAGACGAAAGAUUUGGGGAGCAUGGGUACUACCUGAGCGGAGUCUGACACCAUUGAUGGACUCAGGUUCCUACAUUGUUGAGGCCCGAGUUGAAAAGUAAGUCAAACCGAACACAUUUGGAGAGCAGUAUAGUGGAAUAAACUCUGCUGUGGAGAGCUGUUGGGCUAACAACAACAAC
rnacentral:lncRNA from 1 species